GUCUCCCUCUGCCCACCCACCUGCACCUGACAGCUGUGGGCUGUGCUCUCAGGGAGGCACCGUCAGAUGCUACCAGACUACAGAGGAGAGCACCCUCAAUCCUGACUGAAGGUUUGGGAAAAGGCUGCUCAGAAGAGGUGAUACUUGAUAUGGGCCCUGGAGGAGGAGAAGCAGUUUGAGAAGACAGCAGUGAGAGAUGGCAUCCGGGCAGGCGAGAAAUGCAAAGGGAAGAGAGGUCAUCCAGGACAAAAGUACAGAAUGAAAAGAAAAAGCAACUAAGCACGAAAUCUUGGAGAAUGUCCUCAUUGAAGGGUCCUGAGCACCAAGGGUACAGUCAGAAAUGAUGAAUCCAGAAAUGAUGCCCUCCAGAACUUCUGGUGAGGAAGGCACUCAGGAAAAUGCAGCACCCUAUGGAGGCCCAGAAAGGAGGGCAUUCAGGAAGAACACAGUCUGAUGGUGUCAAGUGCAGCGGAGGCUAAGAGCCUCAGUGCCUCCUUCAGAGAUGCGGUGGAUAUUAGCUUCUGUUGUAUCCUUCAUACAGAACCUGGUGCUGAGAGACAGCUUCUUCUUUUUUUUUUUUUCUUUAAACUUUUCUUAAGACUAGUCAAGUACAGUAUCAAGAAGACGGGAAAGAGUAGAACAAGGAAUUGGAUCCGUAACUGACUGUGAACAAUCAAUUGAGGUAACUCAUUACCUUUGAACCAACCUGGGAGGCAGCCUUGUGACUCACCUCAAUCCUCAAUCUUCUCAGCUAGUUCACUUUGGCCUGGCUCAGGGGCUGACCUAGAAUGAUCCUGUCCAGAAGGACCCUGGAUGUUCUUAGAGACACAGACUGCUAGGGCUGGCAGGGACUUUUCAUCCAAUUCCUCUGUGACAGAGGAGGAAGUGGAGGUGCAGAAGGAGAGGUGAGCUGCCUGUGGUCCUUCAGCUUACUAAUGGCAGUGUUAGGACUGGACCUGAGGGCUCUUCCCUCCAGUCCGGCGCUAUUUAUUCCAUGACAGUGCCUCUCAAACUGUGUUCUCACAAGCAGCUAGUGCUCAGGCAGCUGGACUGAGGCCCUGCCUGCCAAAUCAAAUAUUGGAGGUCUUUCUCCAAUGUGCAGAAAAAAAAAGUAAUUAAUGGGUUAAGUUUCCUUAGGGUUAAAUUAUUUUUCCAUUAAUGCUUCUUAAACCAUUGUCACCUGCUACCAAUUGUCUACUAGCCAAUGCAUGCAGGCAACAAAACAAAAGGAUAAGCCACAAGUAAAUAAGAACAAGAACAACCAAAGCCUUGGAAACACACCAUCAUUCUUAAGUUAAAGGCUUAAAAAAAAAAUAGAGGAAGACUGCUAUGACUGUGGACUUUCUAUUGCAUUCACAUAAUAAAAUCAUGCGACAUUGUUUUGAAUUC
rnacentral:lncRNA from 1 species